rnacentral:rRNA from 1 species
UACGGGGGGGGCAAGCGUUGUUCGGAAUUACUGGGCGUAAAGGGCUCGUAGGCGGCCAACUAAGUCGGAUGUGAAAUCCCCAGGCUUAACCUGGGAACUGCAUCCGAUACUGGAUGGCUUGAAUCCGGGAGAGGGAUGCGGAAUUCCAGGUGUAGCGGUGAAAUGCGUAGAUAUCAGGAGGAACACCGGUGGCGAAGGCGCCGCUCUGGGCCGAAACUGACGCUGAGGAGCGAAAGCGUGGGUAGCAAACAGG